GAUGAACGCUGGCGGCGUGCCUAAUACAUGCAAGUCGAGCGAACAGACGAGGAGCUUGCUCCUUCGACGUUAGCGGCGGACGGGUGAGUAACACGUAGGUAACCUACCUAUAAGACUGGGAUAACUUCGGGAAACCGGAGCUAAUACCGGAUAAUAUUUCGAACCGCAUGGUUCGAUAGUGAAAGAUGGCUUUGCUAUCACUUAUAGAUGGACCUGCGCCGUAUUAGCUAGUUGGUAAGGUAACGGCUUACCAAGGCAACGAUACGUAGCCGACCUGAGAGGGUGAUCGGCCACACUGGAACUGAGACACGGUCCAGACUCCUAAGGGAGGCAGCAGUAGGGAAUCUUCCGCAAUGGGCGAAAGCCUGACGGAGCAACGCCGCGUGAGUGAUGAAGGUCUUCGGAUCGUAAAACUCUGUUAUUAGGGAAGAACAAACGUGUAAGUAACUGUGCACGUCUUGACGGUACAUAAUCAGAAAGCCACGGCUAACUACGUG
rnacentral:rRNA from 1 species